rnacentral:rRNA from 1 species
GACGAACGCUGGCGGCGUGCUUAACACAUGCAAGUCGAACGGAAAGGCCCUGCUUUUGUGGGGUGCUCGAGUGGCGAACGGGUGAGUAACACGUGAGUAACCUGCCCUUGACUUUGGGAUAACUUCAGGAAACUGGGGCUAAUACCGGAUAGGAGCUCCUGCUGCAUGGUGGGGGUUGGAAAGUUUCGGCGGUUGGGGAUGGACUCGCGGCUUAUCAGCUUGUUGGUGGGGUAGUGGCUUACCAAGGCUUUGACGGGUAGCCGGCCUGAGAGGGUGACCGGCCACAUUGGGACUGAGAUACGGCCCAGACUCCUACGGGAGGCAGCAGUGGGGUGUAUUGCACAAUGGGCGGAAGCCUGAUGCAGCAACGCCGCGUGCGGGAUGACGGCCUUCGGGUUGUAAACCGCUUUCGCCUGUGACGAAGCGUGAGUGACGGUAAUGGGUAAAGAAGCACCGGCUAACUACGUG